UACGUAGGGUGCAAGCGUUAAUCGGAAUUACUGGGCGUAAAGCGUGCGCCAGGCGGUGAUGUAAGACAGAUGUGAAAUCCCCGGGCUCAACCUGGGAGCUGCAUUUGUGACUGCAUCGCUGGAGUACGGCAGAGGGGGAUGGAAUUCCGCGGUGUAGCAGUGAAAUGCGUAGAUAUGCGGAGGAACACCGAUGGCGAAGGCAAUCCCCGUGGGCCUGUACUGACGCUCAUGCACGAAAGCGUGGGGAGCAACAGG
rnacentral:rRNA from 1 species